GAAAUCUUGAACUAAUCUCUUCUGUUGUUGCAAUUGGAACAGCAGCUUUGUCCCUGGGAACCACUCGGGCCUUAAAACGGCACAUUUCUUUAACAGACACAUGAAUAAGCCACAGGAAUCUUGCAGGUGGUUGUUGGAUAUCUAGGCCCCAACACACACAGACGUGCUGAACACUCACCCUGCACAGAUGCACGAUAAAGGCUCUCUCUGCUCAUACUUUAGCCAGCACUGAUGGCGUGAUGCCUGCAGUACACCAGUUUACUUCUGGGAGUCG